rnacentral:rRNA from 1 species
UCGGAGGAUUUGUUGGGCGUCGAGCGGCGGACGGGUGAGUAAUGCCUAGGAAAUUGCCUUGAUGUGGGGGAUAACCAUUGGAAACGAUGGCUAAUACCGCAUAAUGCCUACGGGCCAAAGAGGGGGAUCUUCGGACCUCUCGCGUCAAGAUAUGCCUAGGUGGGAUUAGCUAGUUGGUGAGGUAAUGGCUCACCAAGGCGACGAUCCCUAGCUGGUCUGAGAGGAUGAUCAGCCACACUGGAACUGAGACACGGUCCAGACUCCUACGGGAGGCAGCAGUGGGGAAUAUUGCACAAUGGGCGAAAGCCUGAUGCAGCCAUGCCGCGUGUAUGAAGAAGGCCUUCGGGUUGUAAAGUACUUUCAGUUGUGAGGAAGGGGGUAAAGUUAAUAGCUUUAUCUCUUGACGUUAGCAACAGAAGAAGCACCGGCUAACUCCGUGCCAGCAGCCGCGGUAAUACGGAGGGUGCGAGCGUUAAUCGGAAUUACUGGGCGUAAAGCGCAUGCAGGUGGUUCAUUAAGUCAGAUGUGAAAGCCCGGGGCUCAACCUCGGAACUGCAUUUGAAACUGGUGAACUAGAGUGCUGUAGAGGGGGGUAGAAUUUCAGGUGUAGCGGUGAAAUGCGUAGAGAUCUGAAGGAAUACCAGUGGCGAAGGCGGCCCCCUGGACAGACACUGACACUCAGAUGCGAAAGCGUGGGGAGCAAACAGG